rnacentral:rRNA from 1 species
GGAGGACAUUUUCGGCGGCAUGCUGAUCCGCGAUUACUAAGCGAUUCCAGCUUCACGCAGUCGAGUUGCAGACUGCGAUCCGAACUGAGAACAGAUUUGUGGGAUUGGCCAAACGGGAGGGCUGGCAGCCCUUUGUACUGACCAUUGUAGCACGUGUGUAGCCCAGGUCAUAAGGGGAUGUUUUUUCCGCCAGGGGGAGGC